UACGUAGGGUCCGAGCGUUGUCCGGAAUUAUUGGGCGUAAAGGGCUCGUAGGCGGUCUGUUGCGUCGGGAGUGAAAACUUACAGCUUAACUGUGAGCGUGCUUCCGAUACGGGCAGACUUGAGGUAUUCAGGGGGAGAACGGAAUUCCUGGUGUAGCGGUGAAAUGCGCAGAUAUCAGGAGGAACACCGGUGGCGAAGGCGGUUCUCUGGGAAUAUCCGUGACGCUGAGGAGCGAAAGCUAGGGGAGCAAACGGG
rnacentral:rRNA from 1 species